UACUCUUUUUCUCCCUGGGGCUCAACCACCCCCACCCCACCCCAACCCCGGAAAACUCCAGAAACCGCUUUGAUUGACCCCUUUCCAUCUUCCACACUUGCUUCUACCCUUUUCUUUCUCCCCAGAUCUCUCCUUCCCUCCUUCUUUCUCUCCCCACUUCGCUCAAUUCUAAUUUAGAUUUGUUCCUUUUCAGUCGAAUCAGAUAUGAAAUUGCCCACUCAAUUUCUCGUUUCGCCAUUUUCUAGGUUUGAUCUGUAAAGUUUUGAUUUUGGGGUUUUUUUUUUUAUUUUGUAAUUUGCUCAUUUUCUUGGUAAUUCAUGAUGGGUUCCGAGAGCUUAACGCCGCCGCCGGUGGUGGCGGCGGCGGCAGAGGCCGCGCCACCCCCGAAGAAGCAGGGAGUUACGAAGCCUUUGUCUCUUGCUGGGCCCACCGAGGCAGAUCUUCAAAGAAAUGAAGCAUUAGAAAAUUUUUUGAAGGAAUCAGAGUUGUAUGAGAGUGAGGAAGAGACAGCAAGGAGAGAAGAGGUGCUGCAUCAGAUUGAUCAGAUUGUAAAAUCAUGGGUGAAACAGUUGACUCACCAGAGAGGCUACACUGAUCAAAUGGUGGAGGAUGCAAAUGCUAUGAUAUUCACUUUUGGUUCUUAUCGGUUAGGAGUUCAUGGACCUGGAGCUGACAUAGAUACCUUGUGUGUUGGUCCCUCUUAUGUCAAUCGUGAUGAGGAUUUUUUUAUCAUUCUGCAUGAUAUUUUGGCUGAAAAGGAAGAAGUUAGUGAACUCCAACCAGUUCCUGAUGCUCAUGUCCCAGUUAUGAAAUUCAAAUUUCAAGGAAUAUCUAUUGAUCUCCUUUAUGCAAGUAUAUCUCUCUUAGUUGUCCCUGAAGAUUUAGAUAUCUCAGAUCAAUCUAUACUCCACAAUGUGGAUGAACCAACUGUUCGAAGUCUCAAUGGGUGCCGGGUUGCUGACCAAAUAUUGAAACUAGUUCCUAAUGCUGAGCACUUCCGCACAACUCUUAGAUGUCUAAAGUUUUGGGCAAAAAGGCGCGGUGUUUAUUCCAAUGUUACCGGAUUCCUUGGCGGUGUGAAUUGGGCUCUAUUGGUUGCUCGCAUUUGCCAAUUUUAUCCUAAUGCACUCCCCAGUAUGCUUGUUUCUAGGUUCUUCAGAGUUUAUACACAAUGGCGUUGGCCAAAUCCAGUGAUGCUAUGCCCAAUAGAAGAGGACGAGCUGGGUUUUCUUGUUUGGGAUCCUCGCAAGAAUCCAAAAGACCGAACCCAUCAUAUGCCAAUUAUUACUCCUGCUUACCCUUGCAUGAACUCUAGCUACAAUGUUUCCCCAAGUACUCUUCGAGUAAUGAUGGACCAAUUUCAGUUUGGUAACAAGAUUUGUGAGGAGAUAGAGUUGAAUAAAGCACAGUGGGGCGCGCUUUUUAAGCAUUAUCUUUUCUUUGAGGUCUACAAAAACUAUCUACAGGUUGACAUUGUAGCAGCAGAUAAUGAUGAUUUGCUAGCUUGGAAAGGCUGGGUGGAAUCCCGGCUUAGGCAACUGACACUAAAGAUAGAGCGGGACACGAACGGGAUGUUGCAGUGCCAUCCGUAUCCUAAUGAAUUUGUAGACUUAUCUAAGCCAUGUCCGCAUUGUGCUUUUUUUACGGGCUUGCAGAGGAAACAGGGUGUCAAAGUGCAAGAAGGGCAACAAUUUGAUAUUCGUGGCACAGUCGAUGAGUUUAAGCAAGAUGUAAGCAUGUACGCUUAUUGGAGACCAGGCAUGGAUAUCUAUGUAUCUCAUGUUCGGAGGAAGCAAAUUCCUCCAUUUGUCUUUCCAGAUGGGUAUAAGAGACCAAGGCAACCUAGGAAUACAAGUCAUAGUACUCCUGAGAAAGUUGCUAAAGACUGCAUGUCUCCUGAAGAACGGCAGCCAAAGAGGAAACAGGAGACUGAAACAGUCCAUGUAAAUUUGGGCAAACCAGGGAAACGUGCUUCGAUCAGUCCGCAGAGGAUCGGAUCUGUUUCUCCUCUAGGUAGUUCUUGCAGGUCUGACGGAUCAUCACAGAUAAUCAUUUCUGAUGAGUCACAGAGGGAGCUUGAGAGUUCUUGCCUAAUGGACAGUUCUGAUGAUAGAUCAUUACAUAGGAUAUUGCGCAGCAGAAGUGAUUCCUCUCCGAGUGACAGUUCCAUUUGUACACCUGAUAGUUUAAACUAUACAACGUUGAGGGGUUCCACCUUAUUAGGAGUUUCCAGAGAAGUUGAAUUAGAUAGUUCCAACACAAAAUCCCUCCCAAACAAGGAAGUGCUCAGUCCAUGUGAAGACAUAUGCAGUAGAGACGUCCAGACUUUUCAAGUCUUGCAGAAUGAUGAGAAGGGGGAGAUUUUGGGAUCACUUCAUCAGGAUAUUGUUGGGCAGCUCAACGAACCAUGCAUUCAGACUCGUUGUGCAGAAAGUCUCGAAAGAGUGACUGUAUCAAAUUCCAACAUCCAGAACCUCACUUGCGAGAUAGUGAGAGCUAAGAGUCCUUUCAGGGUGAUAAGAGCUUGGCUGAUCGGAUUUCACAACUUGGGGAUGGAUGUCUAAGUGGGAAUGGAGAACUGGGUAAUGGCUUGGCAGAGAUGUCACAGGUGGAGUGCAAAACCAAACCUUUCUCUCACAAGGGCAAUGGAACCCCAGGAUGGGACAAGCUCAGAGGCUGUGCAGGAGGCUGCAAUAAGGCAUGUGUUUCUGAGGACCUCUGUUUUAUGAUUUGAUAGGUUAUGUUAUCUUUAUGUUUUCUUGCUUUGUUCCUGUCAUGGUUUCUCCCUAGCAGGUUGAGUCUGGAAUCAACAGCUUGAUUUUGGGUAGACAUUCCAAGAUUAGCGUAUUUCGAAGCAUGUGCGGUUGUGAAAAUGCCUUUUGAAAGUUGAGGUGUUUGGAUUAGUCUCCAAACUCACGUUUUAAAGUGAGAAGACGUUGCAGAUUAUGUGUGUGGAUUUUGUCUUCAAGACCCGAAUUUGGAGUUGGAUGAAGGAAUUUUAGAGAUGAGAAUUCGUGCCUUUUUAACCCCCCUCUCCCCCCCUCAAAAUGCAAAAAUUAAAAAAGUGAAAAGUAUAAAAAUGAUGAAGAAAAGGAGCUGUGAAGUUAAACCAAUGUCUUGCUUAUUGUGCAGUCGAGAGCCGGCGUCGAGGUGAUACCUUGAAUAGAGUCGUGGAUCUUAUCUGCUUCAUUUGUUAAGAACGUUGGUAGAUGAUGUGGAAAACAAAUAGCAUGUGGAUGUUUGUUUAAAGAAGCAGCGUGAAACAGGGUAGUGGCUACUACUUUUUUCUUUCAACUGUCUAGAAAAGACGUGCUUUUUAUUGUGAUGAUGUUACUAACCUUAUUAUUGUGAGAUGGUACUAUUUUGUUUGGACUUCCUGUAGUAUAUAUCUGAUAUAUUUGUAGUUACUAUCCUCGAUGCAUGUCAUAUUCCGAAA